rnacentral:rRNA from 1 species
AAUCAACGCUGGCGGCGUGCCUAACACAUGCAAGUCGCACGAGAAAGGGACUUCGGUCCUGAGUACAGUGGCGCACGGGUGAGUAACACGUGAAUCAUCUGCCUUCGAGUGGGGAAUAACUGAGAGAAAUCUUAGCUAAUACCGCAUAAUACCUACGGGUCAAAGCAGCAAUGCGCUUGAAGAGGAGUUCGCGGCAGAUUAGUUAGUUGGCAGGGUAAGGCCUACCAAGACGAUGAUCUGUAUCCGGCCUGAGAGGGCGCACGGACACACUGGAACUGAAACACGGUCCAGACUCCUACGGGAGGCAGCAGUGGGGAAUUUUGCGCAAUGGGGGAAACCCUGACGCAGCAACGCCGCGUGAGGAUGAAAUCCCUUGGGAUGUAAAACUCCUUUCGAUCGGGAAGAUAAUGACGGUACCGAGAGAAGAAACCCCGGCUAACUUCGUGCCAGCAGCCGCGGU